rnacentral:rRNA from 1 species
UACGAGGGGGGCAAGCGUUGUUCGGAUUCAUUGGGCGUAAAGGGUGCGUAGGCGGCGCGGUAAGUCGGGUGUGAAAUCUUGGAGCUUAACUCCGAAACUGCAUUCGAUACUGCCGUGCUUGAGGACUGGAGAGGAGACUGGAAUUUACGGUGUAGCGGUGAAAUGCGUAGAUAUCGUAAGGAAGACCAGUGGCGAAGGCGGGUCUCUGGACAGUUCCUGACGCUGAGACGCGAAAGCGUGGGGAGCAAACAGG